GUUAGUUAGAGGUGGUGUCACACAUGGUGUCCGUAAACUCCUCUGAGCAGAAGUCCAGACUCCUUCUACAUCUGUUGUUCAAGGUUCAGACUCAAUAUGCAACUAAUUUAUGAAGCCCAUUUAGACGACAACAACCCUGAUGCAAGAUGUUCUCCACUAUGUUAAGAUGCAGCAUGAAGCCCUUACCAGAAGCUAAGAGUAUUCCGUUAGAGCAACACAAAACAGACUAAGACAACUUGUUCAUUACUGAUGUAUAGUCUGGAUCUGCUGUGAAAUAGCUGCCAACGUGAACAUGCAAGAAUUUUAUUAAGAGAAAUGCCUGUGAGAAAAAAUGGGAGGGAACCAGGGAGCCUGACAGAAGUCUGACUAUUACCGGCAAGGGGUCCUGAUCUAGGCUCUAAGAGAAGGUUCUUGGAUCUCACACUAGAAAGAAUUUAAG